UAAAGCAGACAAACAAACAAAAACCAGUGUU
rnacentral:piRNA from 1 species